rnacentral:lncRNA from 1 species
AUGCAAAUUCUGGAGUAAUACACCUGGCCUGCCUAGAGAUGUUACAAGUGGCCUAAUGGAUUUUUCUAGCCUGGACGCCCACUGGGGACAAGGAUCAUUACUGACAGGAUUGUAUCUCUACCCUUGACUCCAUGGGAAUAUUUGGUCUGCUCUCUCGGGCUCCCUCUAAAAUGGUUGACAGAGCUGAGGCUCACAACAGGCUGAACAUGUGCCUGAUGCUUUGCACAGGGUCAGGACCAGCUUCUGGGGAGGGUGAGCAUUGGUUGGCCCUGAGAAGAUUCUAAGGAGCCAGCAUAUCCUUUAAGCAUUCCAGAAGGAUUUUGAGAACCAUCCUUUCCUAAAUCAAAGCUAGAAUAUUUGGAGAUUUGGAAAAUUGAGGUGAGAAGCAUUGAUUUAAGAGAUG